GGCGGCGUGCCUAAUACAUGCAAGUCGAGCGAACCACUUCGGUGGUGAGGCGGCGAACGGGUGAGUAACACGUAGGUGAUCUGCCCAUCAGGACGGGGACAACGAUUGGAAACGAUCGCUAAUACCGGAUAGGACGAAAGUUUAAAGGUGCUUCUGGCACCGCUGAUGGAUGAGCCUGCGGCGCAUUAGCUAGUUGGUAGGGUAAAGGCCUACCAAGGCGACGAUGCGUAGCCGACCUGAGAGGGUGAACGGCCACACUGGGACUGAGACACGGCCCAGACUCCUACGGGAGGCGGCAGUAGGGAAUCUUCGGCAAUGGGCGAAAGCCUGACCGAGCAACGCCGCGUGAAUGAUGAAGGCCUUCGGGUUGUAAAAUUCUGUUAUAAGGGAAGAACGACUUUAGUAGGAAAUGGCUAGAGUGUGACGGUACCUUAUGAGAAAGCCACGGCUAACUACGUG
rnacentral:rRNA from 1 species